GACGAACGCUGGCGGCGUGCCUAACACAUGCAAGUCGAACGGUCCGGCACUCAACCGACCCUCAGUCUAGCUGUAGGUGAAGUUGAGUGCCGGAUAGUGGCGGACGGGUGAGUAACGCGUGGGCAACCAACCCUGUACAGUGGGAUAACACCGGGAAACCGGUGCUAAUACCGCAUGACACCUAGAUGGUGCAUACUGUUUAGGUUAAAGGAUUUAACCGGUACAGGACGGGCCCGCGUCCCAUUAGCUGGUUGGUGAGGUAACGGCUCACCAAGGCGACGAUGGGUAGCCGACCUGAGAGGGUGACCGGCCACACUGGGACUGAGACACGGCCCAGACUCCUACGGGAGGCAGCAGUGGGGAAUAUUGCGCAAUGGACGGAAGUCUGACGCAGCGACGCCGCGUGAGCGACGAAGGCCUUCGGGUCGUAAAGCUCUGUUCUUGGGACGAAGGAAAGUGACGGUACCCAAGGAGAAAGACCCCGGCUAACUACGUG
rnacentral:rRNA from 1 species